UGUGGUUCUCUUCCUAUAUAAAUGCCUCGAGACUCUCCAUCAUUCCCCACACAUCAAAAUGAGCUUUCUUCCUUUCUAAUAAAACAGUAACUGCUAGUCUUUCUAAUCUAGGGUUUUCUGCAGGUUGGAGAUAAUUGAAUUCAAGAUUCAUGAGGUUAAAAGGGGAGUUUCUGGGGCAGUCCAGUUCAGUAUUCUUGCUGCAAGGUGAUAAUUAAGUAUGGUCUUUUGGUGAUUUUCUGCAAUUUCACUAGGAAAAACCAAAGAAAGUUCUGUCUUUCGGGUUCAAAUGGACUCCCAAUCGUUCUGCUGUGUUCAUCUUUCAAGGCGGUUGAUCAUCUAGCGGCUUCUACUUCAAGAUUUAGCAUUUUGCCAUCUGAUUCUUCAAUUAAUUUAUCAUGUAUACGGUCCAGAAUAUUAAUCGUUUUAGAAAAAUGAAUUUAUUUAAGAGUAUAUAUAUUUUAGAAAAAAAAAAAACUCAAUUAUUGCUUCCUUUUUUUUUUUUUUUUUUUUCUUCAAAUAAGCACUUAGAGCCUGUUUGGAAAGCCACAAGUUAAUUGGAAACUGUUUCGACUAGUAAGUGUCAAAUAAGUGAGAUGUUUAAGGAUUUAAUUGACAGAAUGCAAGUUCCAUCCUUCUGAAUAAGGGCCAAGAAGGAUAUAUUCAGGAUGGUCUCUUCGUCGAA